rfam:Clostridium homopropionicum DSM 5847 CLHOM_contig000031, whole genome shotgun sequence.
AUUGAAAAAGAUAAUACUCCGUAGACAGUAGGUGCGAAAGCAUAACGGAACCCAACCUACCGAGGAUUAAAAUAUUCGGUGAGUCGAUUUUUUAGCCUCUUUGCAUCUGUCUGCGAAGAGGCUUUGAUUUUUAUUAA